rnacentral:rRNA from 1 species
UAAGACGGAGGGUGCUAGCGUUGUUCGGAAUUACUGGGCGUAAAGGGCGCGUAGGCGGCCUGUUAAGUCGGUUGUGAAAGCCCGGGGCUCAACCCCGGAACGGCAGCCGAGACUGGCGGGCUGGAGACCGGGAGAGGUGGGUGGAAUACCCAGUGUAGAGGUGAAAUUCGUAGAUAUUGGGUGGAACACCGGUGGCGAAAGCGGCUCACUGGCCCGGUUCUGACGCUGAGGCGCGAAAGCGUGGGGAGCGAACA